rnacentral:piRNA from 1 species
UCCUCGGCUCUGGAUCUGCUCUUUAGGAAU